rnacentral:rRNA from 1 species
UACGGAGGAUGCGAGCGUUAUCCGGAUUUGUUGGGUUUAAAGGGUGCGUAGGCGGAUCGUUAAGUCAGUGGUCAAAUUGAGGGGCUCAACCCCUUCCCGCCAUUGAAACUGGCGAUCUUGAGUGGAAGAGAAGUAUGCGGAAUGCGUGGUGUAGCGGUGAAAUGCAUAGAUAUCACGCAGAACCCCGAUUGCGAAGGCAGCAUGCCGGCUUCCUACUGACGCUGAAGCACGAAAGCGUGGGGAGCAAACAGG